AUUGAACGCUGGCGGCAGGCUUAACACAUGCAAGUCGAGCGGAGAUGAGGUGCUUGCACCUUAUCUUAGCGGCGGACGGGUGAGUAAUGCUUAGGAAUCUGCCUAUUAGUGGGGGACAACAUUCCGAAAGGAAUGCUAAUACCGCAUACGCCCUACGGGAGAAAGCAGGGGACCUUCGGGCCUUGCGCUAAUAGAUGAGCCGAAGUCGGAUUAGCUAGUUGGUGGGGUAAAGGCCUACCAAGGCGACGAUCUGUAGCGGGUCUGAGAGGAUGAUCCGCCACACUGGGACUGAGACACGGCCCAGACUCCUACGGGAGGCAGCAGUGGGGAAUAUUGGACAAUGGGCGGAAGCCUGAUCCAGCCAUGCCGCGUGUGUGAAGAAGGCCUUUUGGUUGUAAAGCACUUUAAGCGAGGAGGAGGCUACUUAGAUUAAUACUCUAGGAUAGUGGACGUUACUCGCAGAAUAAGCACCGGCUAACUCUGUGCCAGCAGCCGCAGUAAGAC
rnacentral:rRNA from 1 species